rnacentral:misc_RNA from 1 species
GAUGAAGAACGUAGCGAAAUGCGAUAAGUAAUGUGAAUUGCAGAAUUCAGUGAGUCAUCGAAUCUUUGAACGCACAUUGCGCCCGCCAGUAUUCUGGCGGGCAUGCCUGUUCGAGCGUCAUUACAACCCUCAGGCCCCCGGGCCUGGCGUUGGGGAUCGGCGGAGCCCCCCGUGGGCACACGCCGUCCCCCAAAUGCAGUGGCGGUCCCGCCGCAGCUUCCAUCGCGUAGUAGCUAACACCUCGCGACUGGAGAGCGGCGCGGCCACGCCGUAAAACACCCAACUCUUCUGAAGUUGACCUCGAAUCAGGUAGGAAUACCCGCUGAACUUAAGCAUAUCAAUAAGCGGAGGA